rnacentral:lncRNA from 1 species
GCGCAGGCGCCGAAGCCACACCGCGAAGUACCGUUUUUUCAGGCACAAGGAAGGUUUCACCCCGUUGCCGAAAGACUAAGCGUCCCGUUGGCCAGUGCAACGAAGAACGGAGGAAGCGACGCAGUGGCCUUGUGUGGGCCUUCAGCUUCCAGUUCCAUGGCCUGGUGGAGGACCCUGUGGUGCAAGCCUUCCUCCAGACCCCCCUGGCCUGGGGCCCAAGACUGGGAAGCCUUUGAAGAUUUCAGUUUGUAAGUAGUGAGAGCAAUGAUCUUGGCUUUGCAUGGUGCUCAGGAAGCCUUCCCCGCUCCCAAACCAGAAAGGAAUCCAUCCAGAUUUUCCUCCACUGUCUGGAUGGCCGCUCUGUGGAUGCUUCCAUCUGUAUCCAUUGCCGGCACCUGGUGAGGGAUAUUGCUCAGCCAAAGGGCCAGCAUCCCAGUGAAGAAGAUCAGAAAGAGGCUUCCGAUUCCGUCUCUAGAGCCUUUGAGGUCACUCCUGACGCUGACAUGGCUGUGAAGAGCUGGGUGCCAGGCAUUACUGCCUCCAAGGUUGCUUUGCGAGGAAUAGGUGGGGCAUCAGGAAGAAGCCAGUUGCAGGCAAGGCCUCUGCUGAUGCUGCUUUUUUCUCCUGUACCCAUCCAUGGGAGGGAGCUGUGAGAUGGCCUGGCAGAACCCGCUCUUGGACCCCACAGAAUGAGAGGCUCACCCUGCACAGGAACAUCCUGGGGCAGCAGGCUCAGCACAUUUUAAAUUUUGAGUAUGAACAAAGUAAACUUCAGGGUU